UACGUAGGGGGCAAGCGUUGUCCGGAUUUAUUGGGCGUAAAGUGCGUGUAGGCGGCCAGAUAGGUCUGCUGUGAAAACUCGAGGCUCAACCUCGAGCUGUCGGCGGAAACCAUCUGGCUAGAGUCCGGAAGAGGAGAGUGGAAUUCCUGGUGUAGCGGUGAAAUGCGCAGAUAUCAGGAAGAACACCUAUGGCGAAGGCAGCUCUCUGGGACGGUACUGACGCUGAGACGCGAAAGCGUGGGGAGCGAACAGG
rnacentral:rRNA from 1 species